UCUGGUGGCAAUAGCAAAGUGGUCACACCUGUUCCCAUCUCGAACACAGUCGUUAAGCACUUUUACGGUGAAAAUAGCUCGUUGAGUCAAGAUAGCAAGUUGCCAGGU
rnacentral:rRNA from 1 species